UCUGUAAUGAGUCUGAUGCCCUCUUCUG
rnacentral:piRNA from 1 species